GUCGUGUCAACCUUCUCAGGGUCAGCCACUACUUUACUUAACGCGUCGUUGCGUGUUGCUCGCUGAGUUUGUGUCCAAGCCAAGGAAUGGACACCUCUGGCAAGAGAGAAGGCUUCGCGACUUCCAAAAUGACGAUUCGUGAGGAGUCGGAGUCGAGCAUUGGCACGUGAAUUGCAGAGCUUCCUCUCGCGUGUGUGUGAAGAAGUCCACAAUUGACUUUUCUGAGUCUAAGCAGCUUCCAAAUUGUUCGUUUUGGAGGCGCUGACGUGUUCAAUGAAAGAAUCGUCGAGCCAACGUGGUCAAGUGUCGUGACCCGGACUCUGAAGAGGUACAUCAGUGAGACGAGGUGAGACAUAACUGCACCAUGAUAAAGGAAGUUGCGAUUGGUGGGGGACGGGCCCUUCUCCGCCGGUUGGAACAAAGGUCCUCGAACACUUUUGAUGAACUUGUGUGGAAAAUCCCAAGCCAGUGGGUUGGACCAACCCUCCCUUGUACAGUCCUGGUCAUUGGCCUCUAAUAAAGUCAUUUGAAUCAGAUUACAAAUAAAAUAACAGCAGAUCAUCUGACUGCAUUACAUAAGUGUCUUUGAGACUUGCGAUUAUCAGAGUGCCAGCGUUAUUUUUACUGCACUAGUGUCUGAAUUGGUUAAAUGCAACAGAAGAGACAAGUGGGCGUUAGUCAAUGCUGUUCAUAAUUGCGUAAGUGUAAGCGACAGUUCCAAUUCAGCACAAAUUUCCCUUUGACCUACUGGGGUUUAGAUUUGGUUCGACAGUCAUUUCUUUGCUUGUUUACCAUUUAAUUUAAUAAUAAAACUUAAUUCAAAAUGUAAUUCUAUUUACAUAAAGAAAAAAAUCCCUAAAAUCUAAAACUGACAUCCAAUAAAAUAAACUGGCAUUCAAUCUAAUAACAUUUCAGCCUGUCAUAGUACAUUAUCAUAGCCAGUUGUAAUCAUUUCUGGUGACCUCCCUUUGAAAAAUCAAUUGUGAAAUGAGUUAUUUGUUAAUCCCCUCACUUUGUUCACUUUUUUUUAAAUUAUAUAUAGUGCUCCUUUUUUAGCCCUGCAUCUUAAAUGCACAAUAUUCAAAAUAACUGACUUUCCAAACUGCAUUUACAAUGUAUGAAAUGUUAACAGUUCCAUUUGAAUAGUAUAUAGAAAAUUGAAACUUUCAUCUCUUUACUUUUCUUUAGAACAAUGCUGUAAUGUCCGUUUUUUUUUUUACUUUUUCUGGAGUUAGUGUAUGUUUAAAAAUAAAUAAAUUUCCAUAUUAGUCUUU